CUGCCAUGUAUUUCCAAGGACCCACGUUUAUCCUGGGAGCCGGGCUUAGCAAGACUUCAGCGUGUUCCUGUGCAGACUGUGUUCUAAAAGACUGCUUGAGACCAUUGACUCAUUGACACCACCCCCACAUCCUUUGGUUGUGUUCUCCUGGAGGUCUUAAAGAUCAGUAGGGAUGAUUGUGACGAUCCAGGCUGACUUUGGCAUAAUGCAGGCCACAAAGCAUCGCCUAGCAAUUUCUGCAUCAAGCCUAAGACUUGUGCUACAACAUCCCUUCUGGAAAGACCCUCUGCCUUGCUCUAUAGACUUCAAGUGAUGGAGCAUCCCUCGCGUUCCCGGAAGGCUGUGUCUGCACGAGUGAAACGUGUGGUCGUCUGUGAGCAAAGAGAUGAAACGCCUUCACCGGCUGGACUCAGACACAGUGAGCCAGAGCCAAAAAAAUGACAAAGUCACCUAUACAAUGAUUGAGGCAGGAGCCCAAAGCUAUGAUCCUCCUUGUUUCACUGCUCCUAAAUAUGGUGGCAACUGCACUCCACAAGCUCCUCGGUUUUUGCCAUUCAAGUUCCCCACGUACCUCAACUUCUCAACAGGCCCGAACAAUGCCUUAUGUUGGCAGAUCUGUGCUGCUUGCCUAGCUCACAACUAAGCCCAGCCGGGCUCCAGUUUGUGGACAUUGCCCAAGGGGCUGGAUCUAGGGGAGGUUCUUGGAGCAUGCUGUGGGAUAGGGGUCCACACAGUGCAGCGGCAGACACUGCUUUCUUUUAAAAUGCAGGUAGAUGAAGGGUGUUCUCCUUGGAUAGCUCCGGCAGGAUUGGUUCAGAUUUACUUCCCCCCAGACUAUCCGAUAGCUUAAAGAUUGCAGCACAUGCCAGCAGUUGUGAGAUAAAAGGCAGAGACUGGGGCUUAGGACUCUUCACUCCCAGCUGAGUGCCCCAAGCCCUAAGCCAAAGUGCUGUAGGCUCACUUUUGCUCCCUGCCCACAAUGCACCUUAGGCUUUUGGGGACAUAAUGAUAAAGAGGGUAUCUUUAACCAGGCUCACUUGUACCCUGGUGGGAGCAGCUAAUGGCCUGUUUGGCUUGAGAAAACAGCUACUUCAGGAUAGCUGCAGGCAGACACCACUUGCACCAAUGUAAUAAGCACAUAAGGGGUGUGCAUCAGGAUCUGGGGGAACACCUGGUCACUAGAGCGCCCCAUGG